CACCUGUCAGUCAUAAGGGCACAUAAAAUAGUCCCUUGGCGCAUUAAUACAGUGGAUACAAAUGGGUUUGUUUUCAACAUGGGAUCACUGCGCAUGGGUGAGAAAUUAGUGCCGGCCCCACUCCCUAAUAACAGGGUUGCUGGGGUGCCAUCUUGAAUAAAAUAUGGGGGGUGGGCGGGCGGUAAGCCCUGCCCUACAUAGUCACAUGACACGGCACACACAAUUAAAUGGCAAUGGCCAUCAACUUGGGGGGGGGGGGUCCCGGCCCCUCAAAUAUUUUUGGGGGGGUGCGGGCUUAAGAGGAGUUAGCUCCUAAACUGGGUAUGUAUCAUUCCUAGAUCAAUGUCUUUGCUUGCUUGGCUAUUUGUAGAAUGUGCUGUGCCUUUUAAUGACAUUUUGCCCAUGUAUCGCACUGAUCUGAACAUUAAAGAUUUUGGUAGACACUGCAGCCUGAGUUUGAAUUCUACUUUGAGUGACAGCAGGAAACUCUCCUCCACAGGGUGCUUUUUUGGAGAUUCUCCUUGUGGGAGGGGCCCCAGGGCCCCCAAAAUGGAUAGACUAUCACUUUAAGAAAAUGCUUUAAGAAAAUGCUAAGAAAUUUAAAGCUAUCUACCUCUCUCUCUCUCUCUCUCUCUCUCUCUCUAAGCAACAUUGAAAAUUGCCAACUAUGGAGAUCACAAGGGAAAAUUUGUUGCAUCUCGUUUUAAAGUUGUAAAUGACAACUUCAGCUCUGACCAGUGAGAGGGCUAAAACCAGUAUUACUGCCAGGGAGAGUCAGCGGCGGAGGAAGCCGCUCGGGCGCCUGGGGUGCAAGCUGCCCAUAGGGGCAGGGCAAGGGUGGGGUGAGGUAUCCAUAGGUGCGGGGUGCACCGUGGGGCCUCCAAAGUCUGCCUGCCUCCUCCCACUCAGUCGCCCUUCAGCUGGGGGGGGGGGGAGGCAGCGGGCGAACUGUUUGGGCAGCACAGAGCCUUGGGCCCACUGCAGGCCCCGUGGUGAGUGCCGCCCGGCAUUUUGUCACCCCCCUCAGUGACACCUGGGGCCACCCCAGGUGUCCCCACACCUAUCGCACCCCCCUUCCUCCGCCCCUGGUUGCAGGUGGUGUGGCCAGGGGUUCGGGGGGAACUGCCCCCCAAUCAAGUAAAUAAAAAAAAUACUUAACUGACCAAUUGUGUCUCUGGUAACUCCAUUCUGCCCCCCCCCCCCCCGGUUGCCACGUGUCUUCUUUUUCCAGGACACAUCCUCUUUUUCAGGGGUAAGAUUUUUAAAAUUUGCCAAAAUGUCUCUGGCUAUACUGUCUGGAUGAGUCCUAGACAAGACUGGUGAGUGAAGACUUGCUUUCCCCAUCUUUUCUCUUCUCCUGCCCCCCCAGCAAUAUAUCACAGCUUCUAUAGCCUACGUAUAGUAGGAGUAUUUAAAAUGAGAAUCUUCAUGGCGUCCUCUUUUUUGCUCUUUGAAAUAUGGCAACCCUAACUUACCCCCCCUAAAAGAAAUCCUGGCUACACCCAUGGCAGGGGGUCAUAGCAACAGUGCCAAUUUGUUGAUAUAAUCAAUGAACUAUUACCAUGAACUUAGAAAUUUAUCCUUCUUACCCUCCCCAUUUAUCAUCACGCUGCUGUGUUGAUUCAAACUCCCAGAUUGUGCCAUUUCCCAUACCUGGGUAAAACCAAGAUCGUGAAGUGAGGGCCUCCCCCCAUUUCCCACCUGACAGCUAUUUCCAUUCUGGCAGUGACUGUCAAAAGAGACCAUAGUCAAAGAUGGAAUAUUGGGGUUCAGAUCCCCCCCCCCCGCAAGAACCAAAAAAUGCGAGCCACGGAUCCCUGUUCAGUUUAUAACCAAUUGUAAUGAUUUCAGAAUUAAUUUAUUUAUUUGGUCGUUUAUUUUGCCAAAAUGGACGCAAGUUUUUUUGCACCAUUUCUUCCCUACCGGGAUGGGGCUUUGCAAACCAUUGGACCAACGGAGAGGCAAGUAACCAGUCAUUUUUGUUUCCUCUUCUUGGCAGGCCUGUUCACACAACGCGUGCAUGGUUGGUCCUUAAUGCAGGAACCAGGAAGCUGUGACCCUCCAGACGUUGGAAGCCAACUCCCAUCAUCAGCCCCAGGCAGCAGGGAUGAGGGAAGCUGUAGGCCAACAACAACAACUCACACCUCAGAAUACUGUGGUUUUGUUCCCACAAUGUUUGUCGCUAGACACUGUAACAUUAGAGGAUGAAUUGCUUGUGUGAAUCAGCUGUCUUGGGUUUAAGUUCAUAUAUGAGACAUGCGAAAACAAAGGAAAGACCGUAAAUCUGUGAGCAGGGCUUGCAUUGUUUUAGAAAAUGUUAGAGAGAAAACAUUAGACACUUUAUAAUUAAAAUAGAAACCCUCUCCAUAAUUUGGUUUCUCUGCAUUUACCUGCUGAAUGUGCAAACAGAUUUCAUUGAGGGGAAACAAUAUUGCAUUUGAAGCGUGGUAAAAGUCCAGUCUGUGGUGUUCAUUCACAGGUGAAAUUUAUUGCUGGGCGUUGCAGUGAUCUGGUGAUGAAUAUUUGUGUGUGUACCAGCCCUGAAAGCAAACUACAAAACUAAAUACUUGUUUCAGGAGUCAAGUCCCCACCACAUGAACCUAGACAUGGUAACAUCUUCUUUUGGACUGAUAGUGUAGAAAUAUGGGGGCUUUUCUGUUUUGUCAAAACUUGCUUUUUACGGAUUUCACCUGAAACAAACAAAUAUGCUACUACUUGCUCUGAGACCUGGGGAAAGGACACGAUAUAAAUAAAACAUCAUCAGUUUACAUAGCAAUGUGCUAUCUUUGUUUCUAACCGGAAUCCACCUUCCCUCAAAUGCCAUCUGUUGUUUUCCCCUUUGGGCCCAAACUAUCUAUAACUCUGUGCCUUGGUUUCUUUUCUGUAUUACAAGAAACGCUUCCCGGCAUGUUGGGAGAUGUGCCAAGUCCUUUCUCAUCAUCAGGACUCUUUGAACCAAUGGGGAAGGCAACAGAAUUGCCACCACGUCCUGAGCUUUUGACAGCUGUACAGCAGGCAGCAAUCCAACAGGCAGUGUUUGCUGGCAUAGGGAUGUGCCAGUGAAGAAAACAGUGCUUGUCUGAAUUUAUGCAUGGCAUGUAGUUGUUCAGGAAGAGGGUGGUUGGCAGCAUUAGGUGUGGCACGAGAACUGGCAUAUCUUUUGUUAUGUACUGAAGUUCUCACCCUGGGCCAGCAGGGGGAUACUGUAGAUAGUUAUGCAAAUGAAGGAUCGAAAGUGACGUUCAGUGAUUGGAUAGUUUGUAUGCAAAUGAAGGAUCGAAAGUGACGUU
rnacentral:lncRNA from 1 species